GACGAACGCUGGCGGCGUGCUUAACACAUGCAAGUCGAACGUGAUUUUUGUGGAAAUUCUUUCGGGAAUGGAAAUGAAAUGAAAGUGGCGAACGGGUGAGUAACACGUGAGCAACCUACCUUACACAGGGGGAUAGCCGUUGGAAACGACGAUUAAUACCGCAUGAGACCACAGAAUCGCAUGAUAUAGGGGUCAAAGAUUAUCGGUGUAAGAAGGGCUCGCGUCUGAUUAGCUAGUUGGAAGGGUAAAGGCCUACCAAGGCGACGAUCAGUAGCCGGUCUGAGAGGAUGAACGUCCACAUUGGAACUGAGACACGGUCCAAACUCCUACGGGAGGCAGCAGUGGGGAAUAUUGCACAAUGGGGGGAACCCUGAUGCAGCGACGCCGCGUGAGCGAAGAAGGUUUUCGAAUCGUAAAGCUCUGUCCUAUGAGAAGAUAAUGACGGUAUCAUAGGAGAAG
rnacentral:rRNA from 1 species